rnacentral:lncRNA from 1 species
AUCAUUUUGAGGCAGAGAUAAGGGCGAAAGUGAGAGGGAAGAAACCAACCAUUGCUGAGGUUAAAAUAGCCAUCCAUCAAAUCAUAUAUAAUAAUAAACUCUAGUUCCGAGAUUCUAACCUUAAUGAUGCAACUUUAGAGAAGGACAUGUGAUCGCUUAUCUAAUUUUAGCGUCGUCUAUGCUACAUUUUCAGUUUUACUUACAUAUACAAAAUAUUGUCUAUGUUACUAUAUGGUGUGAAUUUAAGUCGAAUUAAUAAAUACAAAAACAAAAAUUAGUAAUUAAAAUUAAAGCAAAAUACCCACUUAGAUUAUUGUUUUAUUAAUAGUGUGAGUUAACAAGUAAUAAUCAUUACUUGUAUAUAUAUAUAUAUAUAUUAGGGCCGAUCCGCGCUACGCGCGGGAUGUCUAUAUUUAUGUUACGAAAAUUUGUAUUUUAUUUUGUUGGGUUUGUGGUUUUAAAUAUAUGAUUGUUUAUGCAUAUGGCAUUUGGAAUUUUUAUUUUAUUUAUGUUUUUUAACUAAUUAAUAAUAUAGAUUACUGAAGUUUAAGAAAAUACGCUGUAAAUUUUUUGACGAUAUUAGUUUCUUUCUAAUAUAUUAGAGUUUUAAAUUUUUUUUAGUGUUUUUUUUUCUUGUUAUGACAUCUUUUUUGUUUUUUUUUUUGAAAAAUAAUGAGAUAAAUCGAUAUAUCUUACUAUCAAAUUGGAGUAUUAAAUGGUGUAUGAUAUAUUCAAGUAUUAAGACUUUUAGUAAAAAAAUCGACUUGGUUGUAUCUGUUAUUAACAUCAUAUAAUAUUAGACUAAAUAAAUAUUAUUCGGAAACUUUAAAUUAAAUUUUUCGUAUGGCCUAAUUACAAUAGCCUAAUUAAGAAGGCUUACGUGUGUAAUGGGCCUUAAACUUAAGACGAUGAAAAACUUUAACAAACCUAAAAUCUAUAUUUGGAAAUAAGGUUGUGUGCGCAGCUAUUUUUUCCUUUAUGGAGCGACCAACAGUAAAAUACGAACACGUAUUCUAGGGAUUUCUUGUGUUUUUAAGGUAGUUUAUUGUUAUAUGUUUUGUUGAACUUUAUUUUGUGAUAUAAAUUUACAUAGCUUGAUAUAGUAUAUAUAAAUCUAUCGUCAAUUAUAUAUGAAAAAAUGUUUAUAAGAUAUUGCUUAUAUUGCUCAUAUUUUUACAGAUCCAAUAAGUUUAUGUAGUUCAGAUAUAUUAUAUACAAGAUAUGAGCCGUUGCGUUGCAACGGGUUUUUGUUUGAUGUUUUAAUUUAAUAAAAACCAUAAAAUUUUAAAUCAUUUUAUUAUAGUAUUAUGAUUGUUGUUUGCAUAUAUUGUUUGAUAUUUAUUUUAUAAUUAAAACUCGUUAUUUUACACUUCUCAUGUCACAACCCACAAGUCUUCUUUCAGAUUCAGUUUCCACAUCUUCUUACGUUCAAUCAUCGUUUGUCUCGUGGAGAGUUGAGAAUGUCAAAGAGCAUCAGCAAUAUCAGCGAGUGGAGAAAGCGGCGUGGUCAUCGUCGCAAUGGAUGCUCAAACACAUAAUCUUGAAAGUUCCUUUCCUCCACGACAACACUAAAAAUAAGAGGCUACCGCGAGAAGAGCUUAACCAUGUGGUGGCCGAGCGACGCAGAAGAGAGAAGCUAAAUGAGAGAUUCAUAACGUUGAGAUCAUUGGUUCCAUUUGUGACCAAGAUGGAUAAAGUCUCGAUCCUUGGAGACACCAUUGAAUACGUAAACCAUCUUUCUAAGAGGAUACAUGAGCUGGAAUCUACUCAUCACGAGCCAAACCAAAAGCGGAUGCGUAUCGGUAAGGGAAGAACUUGGGAAGAGGUGGAGGUUUCCAUUAUAGAGAGCGAUGUUUUGUUAGAGAUGAGAUGCGAGUACCGAGAUGGUUUAUUGCUCAACAUUCUUCAGGUACUUAAGGAGCUGGGUAUAGAGACCACUGCCGUUCACACUGCCUUGAACGACAAUCAUUUUGAGGCAGAGAUAAGGGCGAAAGUGAGAGGGAAGAAACCAACCAUUGCUGAGGUUAAAAUAGCCAUCCAUCAAAUCAUAUAUAAUAAUAAACUCUAGUUCCGAGAUUCUAACCUUAAUGAUGCAACUUUAGAGAAGGACAUGUGAUCGCUUAUCUAAUUUUAGCGUCGUCUAUGCUACAUUUUCAGUUUUACUUACAUAUACAAAAUAUUGUCUAUGUUACUAUAUGG